GUCUAUGGCCAUGCCACCCUGAACAAGCCCGAUGUCUGAUCUUGGAAGCUAAGCAGGGUUGGACCUGGUUAGUACUUGGAUGGGAGACCACCUAGGAAGACCAGGUGCUGUAGGCA
rnacentral:rRNA from 1 species